rnacentral:lncRNA from 1 species
CGUAGGAAGAGCCACCGAGGGGCCCAGAGGGAAGCAGCAGGGACCUUCCUCCUGAGAGCAGAGCCCGUGCUGGGGCGACAACGAGGACUUCUCAGGAAGCCGCUGCUCCGCCGUCCGUCCGCCCUGGGCGUCGCCGCCGGGAGGGGCCGUCCUUCCUCCCGCCCCACCCCUCCGGGCCCCCCCAGCCUCAGCUUCAGCUCAGUAACCACCACACCAUCCAGCCCACAGGGAUGCGGCGACGGCAGCUCCCGGGAGGCUUGUGAUUUGACCCUGAGGGACAGGUGUGGACACGGUGUGUUCCCACCCCUUCCUCCUGCUUUGCGCGCAGAUGCAAUGCUUGGAGCUUCAAAAGCUACUUGGAAAACACCUGGAAAUAGCAAUUGGAGAUGCACAUGAGUAGAAGCCACAAAAGAAGUCAUUUACCCCAAUUUGUCAUGUGAAAACAUUAAAUAUUAUUUUCAGCCAAUUUUUGUCAGAUUUCCUAUUCCAUCCAGCCCAAAGCAUUGCUGUGUGACACCUGCUCAGAGAUACACCAAAUUCCUAGCUGUAGAUCAGUUGGUCCAUAGAUGGAGAUGCAAAUCUUCAUAUGACUCAUUUCUCUUCUUGCAUUCCUAAAACAUAGUCAUAAUCUUUCAUAUAAUCAGAUAGCUCCUAUUUUGCUGACAACAAAUUUAAAGCCAAAUUAUACCAUCCAAAAAUUAAUACAGACAGAAACUCCUAUAAAAUAGAGUGACUAUUCCUAUUCACUAGCCCAAGUAUCACUAUUGUAGAUGGCAAUUGAGAAAGUAGAGAAAUAGAGAAAGUGUUUUUUUCUUGGCUGCACCUGUGGCACAUGGACGUUACUGGGCCAGGGAUCUGAAUCCAAGCUGCAGCUUCGACCUAUGCCACGGCUGCCGCAAUGCCAGAUCCUUAACCUGCUGCACCACAGCGGGCACUCUGAGAAAACAUUCUUAAUUGGUUGGUUAGAAACUAUGCAGUUCUUCAUAAAGUAAAAAACCCAUCUAUCUUUCUAUCUAUCUAUUCUUUACUUCAGCUUUUUAGAGAAAAUGAGAUUUUACUAUUAUUUUGUGUCCUAGUAUUUCACAUUUAAAAUCCACAUAAAAUGGCAAAAGGAUUGCAUUUCCUUUUCUUUUGAUAUAAUAUCUGUUAUUUGGGUCAAAUACCUAUAUUAUUUGCAUACAUUAACUUCACAAAGAAAGAAACGUUACACAAAUAUUUUAAUGUCCACACUUUCACAUAACUAGUUCCAUCUUUUUCAAUGCUUAAUAAAUAUUUGAAUCAUAAGUAUACA